GAUGAAGAACGCAGCGAAAUGCGAUAAGUAAUGUGAAUUGCAGAAUUCAGUGAAUCAUCGAAUCUUUGAACGCACAUUGCGCCCCCUGGUAUUCCGGGGGGCAUGCCUGUCCGAGCGUCAUUACAACCCUCAAGCUCAGCUUGGUGUUGGGCCCCGCCGCCCCGGCGGGCCCUAAAGUCAGUGGCGGUGCCGUCCGGCUCCGAGCGUAGUAAUUCUUCUCGCUCUGGAGGUCCGGUCGUGUGCUCGCCAGCAACCCCCAAUUUUUUUCAGGUUGACCUCGGAUCAGGUAGGGAUACCCGCUGAACUUAAGCAUAUCGAUAAGCGGAGGA
rnacentral:misc_RNA from 1 species